AAUCUGAUCUUAAGGCUCUAAGUUGGAACCAUUGUUCCAUACCUGAGCUAUUUGAUCUAGAUUAGCACUCGGGGACCUUCCCUUAUGGUGCCGUUUGAUAUCCCGUGACCUCUAGCAUUAUCUGGUUAUUAUACAAGGAAUUCAAAGCAAUCUCAGGAGAUGAUGCAUAGGACUUAUCAAGACAUACUUAGGCGGACCUGUGCCUUAGUGACUUAAAACGAGACAAGAACUAGUUAAUUUAUGUUAUGUACACUUUGAUUCUUGUUCAGACAAUGUA
rnacentral:lncRNA from 1 species